AUUGAACGCUGGCGGCAUGCCUUACACAUGCAAGUCGAACGGCAGCACGGGGGCAACCCUGGUGGCGAGUGGCGAACGGGUGAGUAAUGCAUCGGAACGUGCCCAGUAGUGGGGGAUAACUAGUCGAAAGAUUAGCUAAUACCGCAUACGACCUAUGGGUGAAAGCGGGGGAUUCGCAAGAACCUCGCGCUAUCGGAGCGGCCGAUGUCUGAUUAGCUAGUGGCGGGGUAAAGCCCACCAAGGCUUCGAUCAGUAGCUGGUCUGAGAGGACGACCAGCCACACUGGGACUGAGACACGGCCCAGACUCCUACGGGAGGCAGCAGUGGGAAUUUUGGACAGUGGGCGCAAGCCUGAUCCAGCCAUGCCGCGUGCGGGAAGAAGGCC
rnacentral:rRNA from 1 species